rnacentral:misc_RNA from 1 species
UCUGUUUCAUAGUGUUGAGGAGGACGCUGCUCUCAAGGCUACUGAUUUUGGCCUCUCUGUAUUUUAUAAGCCAGGUAUCAUUAUUUCAGUUCUUCGAAUUCGUUUAGUGUUUUCUUCCAUGGAUUUUGUUUUCCUUCAGAUUCAACGGUUCUCUCGGUUUUUAUCAAUGAAUUAUGACUGGGGUAUAUCCACUGUCUGCUUUUUACGAUCUUAAUUAAAAUACUUAGUCUUGGGAUCUGUUCUUUUUCAAGCUAGCUUAUGUAGACAUUUACCAUGUUUCAUUCACGAAGUCAUCAGAUUCCUAAUUAAAUAGGUGAAAAUUAUUGUAGAUUGGAGCAAUUGAUGCUGUUUUUCCUUGUAUUGGUUUCAGUGCGUCAUCUCUGACAUUGUUUUCCAUUAGGAAUUUCCUUGUGAUUCCUAGUAGUUGGUUUCAAUUAUUGAGCAAUGUUCUACGGUAUGAUACUUCAUAUUCUUUCGUGG